rnacentral:misc_RNA from 1 species
GUAUUGAUUGCGUAUCGCAAAGUGGGGUCAUUCUACACUUUUUAAAAGGGGUUUGUGUGAAAACGCAAGCCCCCUUCCUGGAUCGAAUCGAUCCCGAAGGGUGCCCACGCGGUGGUGCACAAGAGGGUGAGAUGGAUUUUAUGCGGGAGGACACGCUCUGGCGUGCACGACUUUAAAAAGUCAGCGACAGCCCUCGCAUGCCCUCACACAUUUUGUACGAUAAUGAUCCUUCCGCAGGUUCACCUACGGAAA